CGCUGGCGGCGUGCUUAGCACAUGCAAGUCGAACGGAAAGGCCCUGCUUUUGUGGGGUGCUCGAGUGGCGAACGGGUGAGUAACACGUGAGUAACCUGCCCUUGACUUUGGGAUAACUUCAGGAAACUGGGGCUAAUACCGGAUAGGAGCUCCUGCUGCAUGGUGGGGGUUGGAAAGUUUCGGCGGUUGGGGAUGGACUCGCGGCUUAUCAGCUUGUUGGUGGGGUAGUGGCUUACCAAGGCUUUGACGGGUAGCCGGCCUGAGAGGGUGACCGGCCACAUUGGGACUGAGAUACGGCCCAGACUCCUACGGGAGGCAGCAGUGGGGAAUAUUGCACAAUGGGCGGAAGCCUGAUGCAGCAACGCCGCGUGCGGGAUGACGGCCUUCGGGUUGUAAACCGCUUUCGCCUGUGACGAAGCGUGAGUGACGGUAAUGGGUAAAGAAGCACCGGCUAACUACGUGCCAGCAGCCGCGGUGAUACGUAGGGUGCGAGCGUUGUCCGGAUUUAUUGGGCGUAAAGGGCUCGUAGGUGGUUGAUCGCGUCGGAAGUGUAAUCUUGGGGCUUAACCCUGAGCGUGCUUUCGAUACGGGUUGACUUGAGGAAGGUAGGGGAGAAUGGAAUUCCUGGUGGAGCGGUGGAAUGCGCAGAUAUCAGGAGGAACACCAGUGGCGAAGGCGGUUCUCUGGGCCUUUCCUGACGCUGAGGAGCGAAAGCGUGGGGAGCGAACAGGCUUAGAUACCCUGGUAGUCCACGCUGUAAACGGUGGGUACUAGGUGUGGGGUCCAUUCCACGGGUUCCGUGCCGUAGCUAACGCUUUAAGUACCCCGCCUGGGGAGUACGGCCGCAAGGCUAAAACUCAAAGGAAUUGACGGGGCCCCGCACAAGCGGCGGAGCAUGCGGAUUAAUUCGAUGCAACGCGUAGAACCUUACCUGGGUUUGACAUGGAUCGGGAGUGCUCAGAGAUGGGUGUGCCUCUUUUGGGGUCGGUUCACAGGUGGUGCAUGGCUGUCGUCAGCUCGUGUCGUGAGAUGUUGGGUUAAGUCCCGCAACGAGCGCAACCCUUGUUCACUGUUGCCAGCACGUUAUGGUGGGGACUCAGUGGAGACCGCCGGGGUCAACUCGGAGGAAGGUGGGGAUGACGUCAAGUCAUCAUGCCCCUUAUGUCCAGGGCUUCACGCAUGCUACAAUGGCUGGUACAGAGAGUGGCGAGCCUGUGAGGGUGAGCGAAUCUCGGAAAGCCGGUCUCAGUUCGGAUUGGGGUCUGCAACUCGACCUCAUGAAGUCGGAGUCGCUAGUAAUCGCAGAUCAGCAACGCUGCGGUGAAUACGUUCCCGGGGCUUGUACACACCGCCCGUCAAGUCAUGAAAGUUGGUAACACCCGAAGCCGGUGGCCUAACCGUUGUGGGGGAGCCGUCGAAGGUGGGACUGGUGAU
rnacentral:rRNA from 1 species